CUGCCCGUAGCUCAAUUGGAUAGAGCACCGGCCUUCUAAGCCGGGGGUUGCAGGUUCGAUCCCUGCCGGGCAGACCA
rnacentral:tRNA from 6 species